rnacentral:miRNA from 1 species
AUGAUGGAUCCGACCAUGAUG